rnacentral:rRNA from 1 species
GACGAACGCUGGCGGCGUGCCUAAUACAUGCAAGUUGAGCGCUGAAGGUUGGUACUUGUACCCACUGGAUGAGCAGCGAACGGGUGAGUAACGCGUGGGGAAUCUGCCUUUGAGCGGGGGACAACAUUUGGAAACGAAUGCUAAUACCGCAUAAAAACUUUAAACACAAGUUUUAAGUUUGAAAGAUGCAAUUGCAUCACUCAAAGAUGAUCCCGCGUUGUAUUAGCUAGUUGGUGAGGUAAAGGCUCACCAAGGCGAUGAUACAUAGCCGACCUGAGAGGGUGAUCGGCCACAGUGGGACUGAGACACGGCCCAAACUCCUACGGGAGGCAGCAGGAGGGAAACUUCGGCAAUGGACGAAAGGCUGACCGAGCAACGCCGCGGGAGGGAAGAAGGGUGUCGGAUCGUAAAACUCGGUUGGUAGAGAAGAACGUUGGUGAGAGUGGAAAGCUCAUCAAGUGACGGUAACUACCCAGAAAGGGACGGCUAACUACGUG